rnacentral:rRNA from 1 species
CAAGUCGAACGGCAGCGCGAACUUCGGUUUGGCGGCGAGUGGCGAACGGGUGAGUAAUAUAUCGGAACGUACCCAGUAGCGGGGGAUAACUACUCGAAAGAGUAGCUAAUACCGCAUACGCCCUACGGGGGAAAGGGGGGGAUCGCAAGACCUCUCACUAUUGGAGCGGCCGAUAUCGGAUUAGCUAGUUGGUGGGGUAAAGGCUCACCAAGGCGACGAUCCGUAGCUGGUUUGAGAGGACGACCAGCCACACUGGGACUGAGACACGGCCCAGACUCCUACGGGAGGCAGCAGUGGGGAAUUUUGGACAAUGGGGGCAACCCUGAUCCAGCCAUCCCGCGUGUGCAAUGAAGGCCUUCGGGUUGUAAAGCACUUUUGGCAGGAAAGAAAUCGCAUGGGUUAAUAACCUGUGUGGAUGACGGUACCUGCAGAAUAAGCACCGGCUAACUACGUGCCAGCAGCCGCGGUAAUACGUAGGGUGCAAGCGUUAAUCGGAAUUACUGGGCGUAAAGCGUGCGCAGGCGGUUCGGAAAGAAAGAUGUGAAAUUCCCAGGGGCUUAACCUUGGAACUGCAUUUUUAACUACCGAGCUAGAGUAUGUCAGAGGGGGG